UCGAAGAAGAAGUGUAACUGCAUUUACACUCCUUUACGAAAUCGAAGCAUUUGUAAAAUAUUUGAUUAUUAUUUGAUGCACUUUGGUACUAGCUAGUUCUAUCAACGGAAGACAAAAAAACACAAUAAGUCGCCCUCUGUCAGCGAUCGGUAUUACACUCGAUGGUAUAGAACGGCUAACGUCUUUUAGCUACCAAUGUUGACCACUGAGCUUGGGUGUCAACAUGAUACAAACACGUGUUUUGGUUAUGGCAGCCUGACAGCCUUUAUGCCAUUUACAGUAAUUUUAUAGAAUGUGCAGUUGACUAAUGUGUUAGUGUUGGGCUUGUCCAAAAACCUCUAAACUCUUAACCCUUCUUGGGUUAAGAAGUUUGUUACUACUGGUUUAUUGUCAUUGUUAUGAAUUAAUAAAGUUGUGUAUUCGUUGUGCUUAGAUAUCAAGGGUGCGGCUUGUGAAGACCAGUGCGUUCUUCAGCGUUCAAAUAGUUUUUUACAGAAUCUGUGUUAUCACCCUGGCAGAGAGACUCACCCUAUUCUUCAGAAUGGCACGACAAUCAAGAGUAUCAACUAUCAAAUAAGCUCUGGCUGCAGUCGCCUGCAGAACAGUGUCUCUGAGAAGUCGAAGAGAUUAUGUGCUACAACAUUUUUAAAUAAUUGUAUAUAAUCUGGGAGGGCAACUUGCACACCACUUACAGAGCUGGCUAUUGGAUGUCAAUGAGGUUAUUCUUGAAAGGCCAAAACCUUUACUGGGAAAGCCUUUCACAGAGGGAUAAAUGCUGUCAUCCUUGAAAUAGAGAGCAAGACGGUGACUAACGGUCUCCUGAGCAGAGAGGAGUACGAGAGCGUCACCUCUAAACGGACCAGCAGCACCCAGCCUGAGCCAUGCUGAGGAAUGAAGAGUUCACAGGGACUCGUCACACUCACCUCAGCUGGAGUGACUUUUCCUGGGGCAGCUUUGUUGGAGGAGUCCCUCGUCUCCUUCAGACCCAGCCAGACCUAGGUACCUGCAUAAAGCAUACCCCUGUCCAGAUAUGGACUUAUGCCCGUGGUGGAUGACAGUGGGGUGAUGGAGGUUCUCUAGCCUCUACCAGGAGUACUUUUGUUUGUUUUGUUGUAACAUGGAAGAAAUUGAGCCAGUGACGUUUUAGGAGAUACCUUUUUUUAGCUCUUGAUGAAAUGUGAGAUUUAAUUUUCUAAAGGAGGAAAUUCGUAAGAUAUUUCCAUUACGUCGGUCAUUGACUCUGUACCAAAAUAACUUAAUACAUUACCCAUUCCACCCUGUUUUAAGAAAAAUAAUGUUUAUUUAAAUCUGUGUUCUAUUUAUAAUCAUUUAACUGUCAAAAGAAUAAUGGUCCAAAACUAAAUCUAUUUCUUCA